UACGUAGGGGGGCAAGCGUUGUCCGGAUUUAUUGGGCGUAAAGAGCGUGUAGGCGGCCAGACAGGUCAGCUGUGAAAACUCGAGGCUCAACCUCGAGACGUCGGUUGAAACCGUCUGGCUAGAGUCCGGAAGAGGAGUGUGGAAUUCCCGGUGUAGCGGUGAAAUGCGCAGAUAUCGGGAAGAACACCCGUGGCGAAGGCGGCACUCUGGGACGGUACUGACGCUGAGACGCGAAAGCGUGGGGAGCGAACAGG
rnacentral:rRNA from 1 species